rnacentral:piRNA from 1 species
UACUCCUCCAGUCACCUAAACCCUGA